AACAAUUUGUCUAGCCUCAUCGCUUGGGUAGAGCCACCUCAAAACAAUGUUAAUUAGUUGUGACUUCAGCAUCCCUUACGCUUUUUGUUCUUUUUUUGUUAAAAAAAUUAGUUAUGGGUUUAUAAGGUUUGAUUUGAAUUAGUUUCAAGUAUUUAAUUUCACAUUGUAGCUCGGUGAAUUGGACAUGUUCCAAUUAAUCUGUAAUGCCUACGCCUUUAAAAGUUAACACAAGGGUUUCAAUCUGAUUCUAGGACACUGCCUCUUCUGUGCAUUUUAUAUGUUUGAUAAUUAUGCCUUACCAUUUAUGUUACUAAGUGUUUAAAGAAAAGUCAUAUUCUUCGCAGGACUACCAACUCUUAUUCAUUUUAAUCAUAAAAGUUGGUGGGAAUCCAGACCUUUGCAUGUCUGCUUUGCCAAAUACAAACAAGAUAACGGAGAUAAUAUCACUCCUUUAGUAGAGAGCUAAACAUAAAAAGCGGCUAAACAUGAAAAAUAAAAGAAUUUUUUACUUCCCUAGACACUUUUUGAGUUUCGUAUUUCACCGUAACAUACUUUGUACUUGAGACAAUCUUAUUUACUAGUCAAAGACAUUGAUGCCCUUAUAAUAAAGAAAACCAAACCAGACUUUUAUUAGCCUAACCCAACCAUACCAACUCUACCCUAUACCAAGUUCGAAAUCCUAAAUUCUCAUCUUUCCUCAUUUUGAAUCACGCACUUUUUUGAGAGAGAGAGAAAAACUGUGUGCCACGGAAAUUAAGAACCCUAGUUCCUCUAUCAUUGGCCUCAUCCUCUAAAUCUUCUUUCUUGAUUUUUCGUCACAAACCUCCAUCUCACGCACCGUCUGAAUCUCACACUCGAGUAGAGCACACAAUCAUUUUUUCCCGACAUGCGAGGAAAUAACAAACCGGACCACCGCCUCCCACAAAUCCUUUUUUCAGAAGCUUUUCCAGAGGCAAAAAUUGAGAUCCGUUUUUAACACUAAAUUGUUUAGAUCUUCAUUUUGCCAUUUAUUUCGAGUUUUAUAAGUCUCUGUACACAACCUGAGAUUUAUGUAAUCGUUUUCAUUUCUUAGCAGGACAAAAAGUUCCGAACAACCACCUCUCAGUGAGGCUGUUUGCUGGUACCCAUGUGGGCGUCUUAACAUUUACUCUAAGCCUGACCUCUUACCUCUCGUGACACUGAGGAGUUUGAGACUAUCAAAGCAUCUUGUUUCGGGAAAAUGUUUGAUUUGAUGGGCAACAUGUGGACGGGAGAGUUGUGGGCUGGUGACCUGUGGAUGAGUGAGUUGUAGUCGGGUGACAUGUGGUCGGGUGAGCUGUGGACUGGUGAACUAUUGUAGCGUGAGCUGUGUACGGACGAGCUGUGGUCAGGUGAGUUGUGGACGGGAGACUUGUGGGCUGGUGACCUGUGGAUGGGUGAGUUGUAGUCGGGUGACAUGUGGUCGGGUGAGCUGUGGACUGGUGAACUAUUGUAGCGUGAGCUGUGUACAGACGAGCUGUGGUCAGGUGAGUUGUGGACGGGUAAGCCAUGGAGGAGCGAGCUGGGGACGUAAUGUUGUGUGGCUGACCACAAGGGAGUGUUGUGUGGACGGAGAGUCAACUUCCACCCAUGUAGCUUUCGUACUCCCUGCUUACUACGCUCCACCCAUGCAACAAUCAGAAGUUUCAGUGAAGUUUCAAAAACUAUUUUGUGUUCUAUGUUCCAUAUGUUUUUUCUUUUUAACUCGGCGUUUCUAUAGCGCGUAAGACGCCCAUGUAAUUUUUUCCAGAAAGUAGGCUCUUCAUUGUUUUUGAGAUCAAACAAUCCGUCUGUAAUGUUAAUGCUAAGGUUUAUGUUUAAAAAAAAGUUGUGUACA